rnacentral:tRNA from 1 species
ACUUUUCUAGUAUAUAAAGUACGAUUGGCUUCCAACCAGUAAGUCUGGGAUUCGCAGGAAAAGUA